UACGUAGGGUGCGAGCGUUGUCCGGAAUUAUUGGGCGUAAAGGGCUCGUAGGCGGUUUGUCACGUCGGGAGUGAAAACUCGGGGCUUAACCCCGAGCCUGCUUCCGAUACGGGCUGACUAGAGGUAUGCAGGGGAGAACGGAAUUCCUGGUGUAGCGGUGAAAUGCGCAGAUAUCAGGAGUAACACCGGUGGCGAAGGCGGGUCUCUGGGCCGAAAUUGACGCUGAGGAGCGAAAGCGUGGGGAGCAAACAGG
rnacentral:rRNA from 1 species